UCCGGCUCACUUCCCUCUUAAUUCAUCCCUUCCUGUGUGUCUUAGGUCUUCUUUUAGCUCAUCCAUCAUUUUAACAAUCGAAUUUUUAAAGUCUUUCUCUGGAAUUUUAUCCCUCUCCAGGUCCGUGUGUUCCUUUAAAUGGUAAGUGCUCUAAUGAUGGACAGUGACGAAGCCUCUCCUAGAAGCCAGGUGCUCCUCUUUCUGUUCGUGGAUCUCAAUUUGUUCUCCUAACAGCCACAUCCUGCUUUUGCAGAUGAGGAAACCAACACCCAGAGACAUGAAGUAACUUUCCCAAAGAUGCUCAGCAAAUGAAGACUCAGAAAUAGGCCCCAGGCCAGGUGAAGGCAACACCUGGCUGAUGGCUCUUUUUCCAACCCCUUUGGAAUAUUUUUUUUUUCUCAUUGCUUGAAGUGAAGGAUAAGGUACAGGAGGAUGGAGAGUGGUUUGAAGGACAGAGAGUUCACGUCGGGUCUGAGCAGCAGGAAAAGCUUCCUAGAGGAGAUGACAAUUUAGUUUGCUCUUGAAGGACAGGUUGGAUUUGAGGAGGUGGCAAUGGAAGAAGUCACCACCCUGUCAACUUUGAGAAUAUUGUGAGAGAUGUCCUUGUCAUUUGGAACACCUUCCUAGGACUUGGUCGUCGGGUUAAUUGUAUGAGUCAACUUGACUGCACUAGGGGGUGCCCAGAUGACACAGGUAUUUGGAUGUGUCUGUGAGGAGAACAUCAGCAUUUGAAUUGGGGGGACAUGGUCGAUUUCCCUAUGGGGGUGGCCUCUGUUCUAAGGGUCCUUCCAAAGUGGGAGGAAGAGAAUGUGCCCCUUUGCUUCUCACCUGCCUGCCAAUCUGGAUCUUUGUCUUCUGCCUCUGGACCAGGAUGUACACCCUUGGCUCCAGGUUCUCAGGCCUUGGAUUUGCAGACAGCAGACUGCACAACUUCUCAGUCUCCAUAAACAUGUCCAUCAAUUCCUGAUCCGCAAAGCCAUGUUCCAGGCCCUUGGAUACACAGACAGUGUCCCCUGUGGGCAGGGGGACUGGGGAGGAGAUCCACAUGAAUUGUCUCAGGAUUAAGGUGGGGUCUUGAGCCAGAUGCCUAAACAUUGUGUCCAAUUGACAGACUCUUCUCCCAACUGAAUGAGAAAUAAAAAUAACGAAAACCAAAAAAGGAAUCAAUCAGAGCCCUCCUCCAGGAUCAUCUGGACGUGAACUUGAAGUGCCAAGCACAGUGUGUGAAUGAACGAGUUGCAGAUGCUCUUUAGGCCCCCCUCUUCCCCUUCAGCCCAAGCCCAGAGAACACCACCAGCUGGCCACCCUGUGGGACAGCAGCUCACAGUCGACUAAACAUGGUCCAGCCUCUGUCCUAGACGAGGAUCCCAUCAGAUUAGAAGUGUCUUCUUGGAAGUGAUGGGCAGGACUUGGUGAAGAGCAAAUUCCAAUGCAAGGACUAAUGGGUACCGCAAUAGAAGUGUGAGUCAGCACACUCAGGCAAGUUCUUCUCACGUAGCCGUCUCUCUGGCUGCCCGUCACUUCUUCCCUCUUCUACUCCCGAGGACUCUUGUGAUGUCACUGGGGACACCUGGAUGAUCCAGGAUACUCUCCCCGUCUCCCGGUUAGCUGAUCACCGGAAGCCCAAUUCCAUCUUGAAGAUCCAUCCUCCUUUGCCGUGGAACCGAACCACGGGUUCAAUUUCCAGGGAUUUGGAUGCAGAUGUUUGGGGAGGAGGCGGGGGACAUUAUUCUGCAUGUCCUUUCUCCUAAGCGCCCAAAGGGACAUUUCAUCAUUUCCAUUCUCUGUCAUUUACUCACUGGUAAAACAGAGGUUCCAAGAAACACUGCAAGGUCACUAGGUGAGUGACGGUGACGUUCCAAGGUCGAAGUCUGGGGAGCAGGGACUCGGAGCAAUACCCUUCCCAAGAACCAACCUCAGAGCAAGAUGCUCAGAGUCCCCAACCCUGCGUCCAUCCGCAAAAUAAGGACAACCGCCAUCUGUUGGGGGCAGGAGUGAGAUCUAGAUGACACAAACACACCUGUGAGUAAAUGCGAAUAAAUAGAUACACACACGCGAGCUUCCCGCCUGGAGAUUCCCCACCCCUCUCACCUGUCUUGAGUUCUCCCCACACCUCUACGUUUCCCAGCUUUUCUUUUUCCUAAGACGCUGGAAGCAAAUAAUCUCUUCUGCUUUGUGUUCUAGAAUGUUCAUGGCCUUGGGUACGCCACGCAAUUUUCCAAAUCACAAGCUAAUUAAAGACUCCAGCAAAGGGCUAAAAGUAGAUCAAACAUUGACGUGGGCGACCAUCGAUCGGUACAUUUCCUCGACUCUCGGUGCAAUGCAUCAAUUACAUUAAAUAAUCUCUUAAUAAAGUUUCCUCCUCAGCAUUUCCCACCCGGACCUGGUGCCCUCACUCUGAAAAUGCGGUUACCUUGGAAAGAAACAUCUUUUUUUUUUUUUUUUCCAAACGGCCAUCCACAAAUGCCAAACCGCAUGCAAAGGAUGGUUUGGGGGCCGUUUGAUUAUAUUACAGUCAGAGUAAAUUCAGACAGGCUAACCGAGGCAGCACUGAUCCAGGAUGGGUGGACACUUGAGUUGUCUUUUGUUUGUUUGGUUGGUUUUGCACAGGAUCUGGCUGUUGGGUUCAGCAGGAAUCCAAAAGUCAUUUACUCAGUGUCUAAUUAUAAAAGCUGCCUUUUAUUGAGCAGGUAUUUUGUGUCGACACUGUGCUAAGCUAUGCGGGCAUCCAGGUCCCAUGCAGACCUGCAGACAGUCCUGAGAUGUAAAACUGAGCAUCAUGGUGCAUUGUAAAGGAACUGGGUUCCGGAGCAGUAGAGAAACGUGAUCACACAGGUCAUGAUUGGUAGCAGGAGGAUUUAAUCCAGGUCCAUCUUAUUCGGGGUAUGAAUUCUUUUGGGGGUGGAAGGGCACCGUGGCUUGACCUCAGGGGCACUCGGCCACUGAGCCCCACCCCCAGCCCUAUUCUGUAUUUUAUUUAGAGACAGGGUCUCCCUGAGUUGCUUAGGGCCUCGCGUUUGCUGAGGCUGGAUUUGAACUCGCGAUCCUCCUGCCUCAGCCUCCCAAGCCGCUGGGAUUAUAGGAUGCACCACGGCGCCCAGCUGGGGUAGGAAUUCUUAACCACUACACAACACUACCUGCUUCGUGCCAAACUUGGGUGUAAGAUGCCACCAUGAAUAGUCUGACGUUCUUUGCCCCCCA